rnacentral:tRNA from 1 species
UGGUGAUUAGCUCAGAGGUAGAGCGCCUCGAUGAAACACCGGGGAAGUCGAUGGUUCGAGUCCGUCAUCACCAA